rnacentral:pre_miRNA from 1 species
GAACUACUCCCUCCGUUCGAAAUUACUUGUCUCGAAAAUAGAUGUAUGUAGAACUAAAAUACAUCUAGAUACAUCCAUUUCUGCGAUAAGUAAUUCCGAACGGAGGGAGUAGAAC